rnacentral:rRNA from 1 species
ACUGCAAGUCGACGAGAAGCCCUUCGGGGUGAGUACAGUGGCGAACGGGUGAGUAACACGUGGGUAACCUGCCCCUCGCAGGGGGACAACCGGGGGAAACUCCGGCUAAUACCCCGUACGCUCCGAGGUCCGCAUGGGCCACGGAGGAAAGGUAGCUUCGGCCAUCCGGCGAGGGAUGGGCCCGCGGUCCAUUAGCUAGUUGGUGGGGUAACGGCUUACCAAGGCGACGAUGGAUAGCUGGUCUGAGAGGAUGAUCAGCCACACUGGGACUGAGACACGGCCCAGACUCCUACGGGAGGCAGCAGUCGGGAAUCUUGCGCAAUGGGCGAAAGCCUGACGCAGCAACACCGUGUGGGCGACGAAGGCCUUCGGGUCGUAAAGCCCUGUUGUUGGGGACGAAGGGCGAAGGGUUAAUAGCCCCUAGCUUGACGGUACCCUUCGAGGAAGCCCCGGCUAACUACGUGCCAGCAGCCGCGGUAAUACGUAGGGGGCGAGCGUUGUCCGGAAUUAUUGGGCGUAAAGAGCGUGUAGGCGGUCCGGUAAGUCUGCCGUGAAAACCCGGGGCUCAACCCCGGGCGUGCGGUGGAUACUGCCGGGCUAGAGGGUGGUAGAGGCGAGUGGAAUUCCCGGUGUAGCGGUGAAAUGCGCAGAUAUCGGGAGGAACACCAGUAGCGAAGGCGACUCGCUGGGCCAUUCCUGACGCUGA